AUCGCAUGGGCGGCCAUUGGGGGUGGUGAAUGUGCGUAAUCCUUGAGGAUGACAGGAUGAGGAGGAGAUGGGUUGGCGCGUAAGAGGUCAGGGGUUCGGGAUUUUGACCCGACCGUUGCUCGGUCAUUAAGUCCGGAUAUCUACCGCGGAAAGGUUGUCGCCAAUAGCAACCCUCACCCGCGAAGUCAGUGUACCAGUGUUGAAGUAGUGAAUCCUUGGAGGAUUGGGAAGUGCCCGGAAGAGCUACAUCCGUGGCCGUGCCGAGAGAGCAGGAGUUUCCCGUAGGAGAUUUGGACAUCCAGGACCCCUUUGUGUUCUAUUGUUCACUACGUGAACACCGAUCGGUUUCACCCCGGCCGUGCGACAUCCGGCCCGGUGAACCACCCGUACGAACCGUCAGCGUCUCGCUGGACAUUGUUCGACCGCCAGGCCGUUACCGUUUCAACCGCGAACCCUAACCCCGGACUGUUCCGACGGAGUCCCCGGACACCGUCGAAGCCUGUUGCACGUCACCAAGCACAGGAAGGGCGCGGACGGCAGGCGAGGGUCCUUGAAGGCUGCAGCCGAAGCGUCGGAGGGUCCAUCCGACUGACGAAGAAGCCACCCCCUUGGCAGAGCGCCGGAGGAGCGUCGACGACAGCAGGAAGGAGCAGCGACGACGGCAGAGCGGCGAGAACGGGGCCCCGAACGCGUGCACCGGAAGUGCGAAGAGAGGAAGAGGACGUGUGAGGUAGGAGUAGUUGAUAAGGAAGUGGGACGGGACGUGUGAGCUAGUGAAAGUUUGGAAGGGAUUCCCGGAAUAAAUCGUCGACUGUGCACGAAAUAAAAGUAGUUUCCCUUAGGUAAAUGCAGUGUUUUCUUGGUUUUUGAGUAAUUUCGAGCGUCACGCCGACCCUGGGUAUUUUAAGGGAGAGUCCCAUCGGUUUUGUACGCCCUGACACCGGAAGCACAUCUCUUUUCAGUGUGUGUUCACUUCGAGUAUGGACUGGGAGUGAACACCAGUUGUUAUACUUGGCGCCCAACAAGAAUAGCUUAGCUUAUUCAGGCUCGGGAAAACGCUGCAUUAAUAAGAGGUCGACAGAUUCUUUGGUAAAACUUCCGCAACUAUACUAGCUCAACUUGCAAAAACUUUACGCUACUUUGAGUGGCUAAAUUUAACUAAGAUCAUUUAGUAUUUGAGGGGUCUUGAAGAUGUUUUAAGGGAGGAAGACUACCAACACUGGAAAGACACAAAUUGAACAGAAAAAGUCGGAGAAUUGUUCAUACUUACUCAACUUAUUAUUAUUGGAAAAAUCCGGAGUUCUUUACUCAUGAAGUGCAGUCCUUGGCAGGACAAAUAAAACACCAGACGGAAACAGUCGUUUAUUUUCGUUAAAUUUUUGUACCCUGUACAAUUUGCUUGAUUUUCUAGGAUUUUCUAAUUGAUUACUUCUGUGAUACUUAGGCACUAUUUUUCAAUUUUCACUUGUGCUUGAUUGCUUCUAGGAAGCGUGAAUAAAUUUUAGGUUUUUCAAUUUUUAGUAUUUCUUUUUAAAUUUUAAUUGCUUGGUUUCUAAACUUUACCAUAAUGGAGGUGAAACAUAUGCUGUCGCAGUAUUAUGGCAUGAAUGCAUCGCACCUGACGAUUGAUGAGU